CAAGGUCAACACGCUUUCACACGGGAACGCAACCGCUUCGGACGUUGGACGAACGUAUGUUGCCGCAAAAGAUCAAGGCCAACUUGCUUUCAUUUUUUACAAUCUCCGUAUGGGAUGUGGAAUUUCAUAACGCGCCGAGUCUAAAUGUCGAGUUGUUUUGCUUGUUGAGAAUAAUAAUUAAUUGCCCCCUUUAUAUUUGCUCCGUGGGAUUAACGUAAUGGGAAAAAUUUGUUGCAACGCAUGUGGAGGUGUCUUCGUUUGUUAACUUUUAGAAAGUAUUCUCGCACCGUAUAAAUACAUCUCAUUUUUCUCUGUUUUGUCAGUAGUUGUUUUUGGUAUUAUUCGUGCAACGUGGAAGCUAACUUAGUGGUUUGGUGUUCGUACAAAAAAGCAGUCCUAAAGAUCAUCUUAGUACUCUCAACCCGUAACCGCAAAUAGAAUAGCAGCAAUCUUAAGCAUGGACUUAAGUCAACUGAAUCAAACCUGUCUUGCAGAAGGUGAUUUUGAGCAGCCGAUUGUCAAACUGCAUGAAUUGCCGAUAGGCGUUCCGUUUAAAAUUACUAGAGCCAAAAUUGUUAAUACAAAAUUUGGCAAUUCCGUGUUGCUGCAAUUAGAAAAUUCCGUAGUAUUUCUUCCUACUCGCGUGACAGAAGCUUUCCGUCCGAGAC